rnacentral:lncRNA from 1 species
AUGAGGAGGAGGCAUAAGAAUUAAGAUGACAGGUGCGGUUUAGCUGCAGAAGUGGGUUCGGUUUGUGCAGGUCCUUGGCUAGUUCGUGUGUAGAUGUGGCAGGGUGUGAGACUAAGCACUUGCACCAAGUAAUCUCAGGAGUUUGGGUACUUUUCUGCUAGAAGAUGCUUUCCUGAGAUGGGCAGGUGGGCUAGACGGUCUGGUGGGGAGCUGGUGAGGAAGGUCACAGUUCAAGAAAUAGAGGCUGUUGCACGGAAAUUU